rnacentral:lncRNA from 1 species
AGUGACUGAGACUGAAAAGCUGGUAUGAACUCUAUCUAUUUUGUUUUUGUAAAUAUGACUAGCUUGUCGACCCAGAUUUAGCUUUGUUGUGAGAGAACCAUGUUUGCAAUGACAACUUAGAGAUCAUAGUUUCUGAUGCCAUGCUUAUUUAGCUCAGAGCUUAUAAUGGUUUGUCUUGACUGCCAACAUAGAUUUUUAGAUGACUAUGAUGUAGUAUGAUAGGAUGGUAUUCUCCUUUGAAUGUUUCAAGAGGCUUGACUUGGCGCAUGUUCAUGCAUGUAGUUGAAACAAAAUCAACAUAGACUCUAUGAUGUUCGUGUUCAUGGUGAUUUAUAUCCUGUUCAUGCUUGCAUUCAAUGUUAGUCAAACUCAUUGCAUCUUGAUGACUGUUGUCGCUCUCUAGUUGGUCGCUUCCCAGUCUUUUGCUAGCCUUCACUUGUACUAAGCGGGAAUACUACUUGUGCAUCCACUUCCACAAACCCAAUAGUUUUUCCAUGAGAGUCCACCAUACCUACCUAUUUUCGGUAUCUACCUGCCGUUCCAAGUAAAUUUGCAUGUGCCAUUCUCUAAACCUUCAAGAAAUAAUUUGUUUUGCAUGCCCGAAUCGCUCAUGUGGUGACAGAGGGCUAUUGGUAUCUUCCAUGCUAGGAGUGUUAUCCUCGACAUGUGUUUAUUCACAGUCAUUCACGAGAAAGGGGCCGGUAUUUGGGAUGCCCAGUUCCGCGCUUAAA